ACCCUAUAGGCUAUCGCUGCGUUUAUUUUCUCUCUCUAAUAAAGGUAUGCUAAUUUUCUAAUUUCGAUAAAAACCCAAAAAAAUCUGGAGAGAGAAUAUUCCGAAAUUGAAAAAUUAAAAAAAAUAAAAAAGGGGAAAACCCCGGAGCUUCAGCUCGCACUAUCCCCUCUCUCCCUCUAUCCAAAGAAAACCCUGGAUUUUUCACCCGUUCCCAGCCAUGCAUCCAUGAUUUUGCCCUGAAGACCAACUCUAAUCCUCGCCGAGGAGGAGAUCGUCAUCGUCAUGUACAGGGAACGAGGGAUUGGUGGGUCCAAGACUGAGGUGGGACUUGUCGAUCGGAAACGGAUCAACGAUGCUCUUGAUAAACAUCUCGAGCGCUCCUCUCCUUCUACCUCCAGAGCAAUCAACAAGGAUGUUUCGUCGCAGUCUCGUCUCAUGGGGAAACAACCGCCUGAUCGCAAAGAUCCCCUCUCCAAAAACAAUUCCUCCGAUGAGGAAUCUGAGACAGACAGUGAAGACUCAGAGGUUAGUGGUUCUGAUGGGGAAGACACAUCCUGGAUCUCAUGGUUUUGCAAUCUG
rnacentral:misc_RNA from 1 species